GGCCGGGAUAGCUCAUUUGGUAGAGCAAAGGACUGAAAAUC
rnacentral:tRNA from 1 species